UACGGAGGAGGCAAGCGUUAUCCGGAAUUAUUGGGCGUAAAGCGUCCGUAGAUGGUUUUGUCAGUCUGCUGUCAAAGCACAGGGCUUAACCCUGUAAAGGCAGUGGAAACUACAAGACUAGAGUGCAGUAGGGGCAGAGGGAAUUCCCAGUGUAGCGGUGAAAUGUGUAGAGAUGGGGGAGAACACUCGUGGCGAAGGCGGCCAGCUAGACCAGUUCUGACACUGAGGCGCGACAGCGUGGGGAGCAAACAGG
rnacentral:rRNA from 1 species